UGACGUGUAGCUCAGUUGGUAGAGCGGGGCACUGAUAAUGCGCAGGUCGUCGGUUCGAGUCCGAUCACGUCAA
rnacentral:tRNA from 2 species